AAAAGCCGCCGGCGUCGGCCUGGGAUUGGGCCACGUCACGGGGCCAGCGCGCUCCACUCCUUCCUCCCCAGCGGCGGCCCCGGGGCGACCGCGGGACCUUUUCCGGCGCUGGAUGCUUCGCUGCCGGGGUUCGGGAGUGACCUGCGCUUGGAGCAGGUCGGGCGCACUGAAGUCCCGCACUCUGGGCUCUUCUUCCGGUCACCUGGAGAGCCCGGCCGAGGAAUGGAAUGACAGGCGUCCUGUCCGCAGCCCCGCAGAGGAGGCGCUGGCCUGCCGGUUGGUAUUGAGGUGCCCUAGGCUUUGGAUAGACGUUGGAGAAAGGCUGUGCCUAGGACUGAGUCCGCCGCAACCCCAUCUGUUUUACUGAGGAAACUGAAGCCACAGAAAAAGAUGUUUGCUGAUGGGUCAGAGAUAACCGAUGCAUUCGUCGCAGAAUAUGGCCUGGAUUUCUUAGCUCCAUAGAAAUGUGCGCAGUCGCCCGGGCGCGGUGGCUCAUGCCUGUAAUCCUAGCAUUUUGGGAGGCCGAGGCGGGUGAAUCACUUGAGGUCAGGAGUUCGAGACCAGCCUGGCCAACAUGGUGAAACCCCGUCUGUACCAAAACUACAAAAAUUAGCCGGGCCUGGUGGCGGGCGCCUGUAAUCCCAGCUACUCAAGAGGCUGAGGCAUGAGAAUUCCUUGAAUCCGGGCCCAGACUGCGCCACUGCACUCCAGCCUGGGCGACAACAGCGAGACUCCUUCUCAAAAAAAGAAAAAAGAAAUGUGCGCAGUCCUUGGAAAGUGCAUUUUCCUUAAGUGUGGAUGGAAAUAAGUCAUCUGUUUUCUCUCCUGCUAAGUUGAUGCCUGGCCACCCUUCACAGAAAGGCCCGCUUGAAGGCCCUGGCUGUCAGGGCCAGGGCUGUGUCAAGCCUGAACUUGUUUAAGGAGCUCUUAGCUCUUCCUUUCUCUAAAUUUUUUGUGAUGCUUAGGUGGAGAGUGGUCUGGUGUCUGCUUACAAGGAAAAAUUAUUGGCAGUCCCAGAGAGUCUAUUCUUCCUUUUAAGAAUAGUUAUGUAUUCAGGCAGUAGAAAAAUUGGUAGAAAUAGAAAUUCACUUAAAAUUUUAACAGAAUUUAAUUACACAAAUAAUACACAAAUGUAAUCUUUAAAAAAUUCAUUCUACAUAAAGGUAAAUUUCCUUGACGCCAACCCAAAUCCCCAUUCUGUCUUGUGGAGGUACCUGCUAUUGUCAGUGUGGUGUAUAAGCUUCCAGGUCUUUCCCUCUUUUACACAUACAUGUAUCUCUAGAAACAUGUAGCUUUUAUCUUUUCAUAAUAUACAUUUUUUGUUUUUUGCAGCCAACACCUUGAUUGCCUUUUAUCUUUUUUAAAACCAUAAAAUGUUACACAAUUACAUUGUUUGCAAUUUUUUUUAACUAAUAAUAAAGUGUGGAGCAUUUUCCAUGUAA